GGGCGUGCCUAAUACAUGCAAGUCGAACGAGUUCUCGUUGAAUCUCGGUGCUUGCACCGAGAUUCAACAUGGAACGAGUGGCGGACGGGUGAGUAACACGUGGGUAACCUGCCCUUAAGUGGGGGAUAACAUUUGGAAACAGAUGCUAAUACCGCAUAGAUCCAAGAACCGCAUGGUUCUUGGCUGAAAGAUGGCGUAAGCUAUCGCUUUUGGAUGGACCCGCGGCGUAUUAGCUAGUUGGUGAGGUAAUGGCUCACCAAGGCGAUGAUACGUAGCCGAACUGAGAGGUUGAUCGGCCACAUUGGGACUGAGACACGGCCCAAACUCCUACGGGAGGCAGCAGUAGGGAAUCUUCCACAAUGGACGCAAGUCUGAUGGAGCAACGCCGCGUGAGUGAAGAAGACUUUCGGGUCGUAAAACUCUGUUGUUGGAGAAGAAUGGUCGGCAGAGUAACUGUUGUCGGCGUGACGGUAUCCAACCAGAAAGCCACGGCUAACUACGUG
rnacentral:rRNA from 1 species